rnacentral:rRNA from 1 species
GACGAAGGAUGCAAGCGUUAUCCGGAUUCAUUGGGUUUAAAGGGAGCGUAGGUGGCCUUGUAAGUCAGUGGUGAAAUCCUGUCGCUUAACGAUAGAAUUGCCAUUGAUACUGCAGGGCUUGAGUACAGUUGCCGUUGGCGGAAUAUGACAUGUAGUGGUGAAAUACAUAGAUAUGUCAUAGAACACCGAUUGCGAAGGCAGCUGACGAAACUGUAACUGACACUGAGGACUCGAAAGUGUGGGGAUCAAACAGGU